rnacentral:rRNA from 1 species
GACGAACGCUGGCGGCGUGCUUAACACAUGCAAGUCGAACGGUGAUGCCCCUUCGGGGGUGGAUCAGUGGCGAACGGGUGAGUAACACGUGAGCAACCUGCCCUUGGCUCUGGGAUAACUCCGGGAAACCGGGGCUAAUACCGGAUAUGACGUGUCCAGGCAUCCGGGUGCGUAGAAAGUUUUUCGGCUGGGGAUGGGCUCGCGGCCUAUCAGCUUGUUGGUGGGGUAGUGGCCUACCAAGGCGACGACGGGUAGCCGGCCUGAGAGGGCGACCGGCCACACUGGGACUGAGACACGGCCCAGACUCCUACGGGAGGCAGCAGUGGGGAAUAUUGCGCAAUGGGCGGAAGCCUGACGCAGCGACGCCGCGUGGGGGAUGAAGGCCUUCGGGUUGUAAACCUCUUUCAGCAGGGAAGAAGCGUGAGUGACGGUACCUGCAGAAAAAGCACCGGCUAACUACGUGCCAGCCGCCGCCGUAACAC